rnacentral:rRNA from 1 species
UACAGAGGGUGCUAGCGUUGCUCGGAAUUACUGGGCGUAAAGGGAGCGUAGGCGGACAUUUAAGUCAGGGGUGAAAUCCCAGAGCUCAACUCUGGAACUGCCUUUGAUACUGGGUGUCUUGAGUGUGAUAGAGGUAUGUGGAACUCCGAGUGUAGAGGUGAAAUUCGUAGAUAUUCGGAAGAACACCAGUGGCGAAGGCGACAUACUGGAUCAUUACUGACGCUGAGGCUCGAAAGCGUGGGGAGCAAACAGG